UAAAUACUCCCUCCGUCCCAAAAAAUUUGUCAUAAGUUUGUCUAGAUAUGAAUGUAUCUAGUCAUAUUUUAGUAUUUAUAUACAUCCAUUUCUAAACAAACCUAAGACAAUAAUUUUAAGACGGAGGAAGUAUUAG
rfam:Hordeum vulgare subsp. vulgare, WGS project CAJW01000000 data, contig: morex_contig_1559992